UACGAAGGGGGCUAGCGUUGCUCGGAAUUACUGGGCGUAAAGGGCGCGUAGGCGGCGCAACAAGUCACUUGUGAAAUCUCCGGGCUUAACCCGGAGCGGUCAAGUGAUACUGUCGUGCUAGAGUGCGGAAGGGGCUACUGGAAUUCUCGGUGUAGCAGUGAAAUGCGUAGAUAUCGGGAGGAACAUCUGUGGCGAAGGCGACACCCUGGACCAGCACUGACACUGAGGCACGAAAGCGUGGGGAGCAAACAGG
rnacentral:rRNA from 1 species